rnacentral:rRNA from 1 species
GGGGCCGAGUAGAGUGGCGUCCGGGUGAGUAACACGUAGGUAAUCUACCUCUGGGUGGGGAAUAACGACCGGAAACGGUCGCUAAUACCGCAUAAUGCAGCGGCACCACAUGGUGACAGUUGUUAAAGCGGGGGAUCGCAAGACCUCGCGCCUAGAGAGGGGCCUGCGGCGGAUUAGCUAGUUGGCAGGGUAAUGGCCUACCAAGGCAACGAUCCGUAGCCGGCCUGAGAGGGCGGUCGGCCACACUGGCACUGACACACGGGCCAGACUCCUACGGGAGGCAGCAGUCGGGAAUUUUGGGCAAUGGGCGAAAGCCUGACCCAGCAACGCCGCGUGAAGGAUGAAGCUUUUCGGAGUGUAAACUUCAUAAGAAUGGGACGAAUAAGGAGGGGUUAACACCCCCUUUGAUGACGGUACCAUUUGUAAGCUCCGGCUAACUCCGUGCCAGCAGCCGCGGUAAUACGGGGGGAGCAAGCGUUGUUCGGAUUUACUGGGCGUAAAGGGCGCGUAGGCGGCGCAACAAGUCACUUGUGAAAUCUCCGGGCUUAACCCGGAGCGGCCAAGUGAUACUGUCGUGCUAGAGUGCGGAAGGGGCUACUGGAAUUCUCGGUGUAGCGGUGAAAUGCGUAGAUAUCGAGAGGAACACCUGCGGCGAAGGCGGGUAGCUGGGCCGACACUGACGCUGAGGCGCGAAAGCCAGGGGAGCGAACGGGAUUAGAUACCCCGGUAGUCCUGGCC